rnacentral:rRNA from 1 species
CCCUUAGAUGUUCUGGGCCGCACGCGCGCUACACUGACGAUGUCAGAGAGUGUCUCCUUCACCGAGAGGUGUGGGUAAUCUUUUAAACAUCGUCGUGCUGGGGAUAGAUCAUUGCAAUUUUUGAUCUUAAACGAGGAAUUCCUAGUAAGCGCGAGUCAUCAGCUCGCGCUGAUUACGUCCCUGCCCUUUGUACACACCGCCCGUCGCUCCUACCGAUUGGGUGUGCUGGUGAAAUGUUCGGAUCGGCCGUUUGUCGCGGUUUCCGCGUCAUGUGGCUGAGAAGUUCAUUAAACCCUCCCACCUAGAGGAAGGAGAAGUCGUAACA